GUUAAGCAUAAUAGCGAAUGCGCCGCUCAGGCUACAGGUUGAGGUUGGUGGCGAGCACCGGACAAACCUGCAUCCGCGCGCGAGCGAGCGUGACGCCGCAGCUCCGUUGCCAGCGAGCCGCGAUGGCAACUGGUAGGCGGAGCAGCGGAGAGCGGCCAAGUCAGCGUAGGGCGAAGACUACCCGACUUGGCUACCGGCCGCGCCGUCGGCGUACAGCAGUUGAGCAGGGAGCGGUGACCGCACGCGCUCGUAGCAGCAAGUGUUCGUCGUCGUUGCACGGCAGCAGCAGCAGCAGCAGUCGACGACGACGACGACGAAACCGUUCGCCUUGCUGCGGCGGCGGCCGCCACCGCUCGACCGACGACGGCGGCAAACGUUGCUGACACACUGCUGCCGGUGAGGCGAGCUGCCGGUAGCGGCGUCUUUGCCGUUCGUCAACUAGCGGUUCGCCGCGUGGCUCCACCCGUACGUCUCCUCGAUGUU
rnacentral:misc_RNA from 1 species